rnacentral:rRNA from 1 species
CGGACGGGUGAGUAACGCGUGGAUAACCUGCCUCACACUGGGGGAUAACAGUUAGAAAUGACUGCUAAUACCGCAUAAGCGCACAGUACCGCAUGGUACAGUGUGAAAAACCCCGGUGGUGUGAGAUGGAUCCGCGUCUGAUUAGCCAGUUGGCGGGGUAACGGCCCACCAAAGCGACGAUCAGUAGCCGACCUGAGAGGGUGACCGGCCACAUUGGGACUGAGACACGGCCCAA